AAAUUAUCUUCCGGCAGAUGACUCUAUUUAAAAAUGCAGCUUUAAAAAGCAAUGAUAUACUCUUAAAAUCGGAAAUUAUAGGAGUUAUCCAGUUUUUCGGUUAUUUUAUGAACUGCUAGCAACACUUGAACGAAAUGUCAGAAUCAAUGACUACAAUUUAAUAUCAGAAUAUUUAACAUUGGAAUCAAGAUUCGACAAUCGAAAUGUAAUGUAAACAAACAAAUGAAAGCAUAAUAUGGUGAUGAGGGGUUCCAGAUUUCCGCAAGCUAAGUAAGUAGAAGCAAUCACAAGUGUGACUACUGGAUUGGAUGAACCUCGGACAGUAUCCAGUUAUUCACCAUAAAUGUAUGAUAACAACGGGCUUUAGUAUGAAUGAAACUAAAACACAAUGUAUUAUUAAUGGGAUAAUAUUUAUUUGAAAGGCCACUGAGAUUUCAGCAAUAAAUACUCUGCUCAAUGAAGUAUAAGCAUGCUUCCAACUAAGUAUAAUAUGAAUAUAAGUAUUACCACUUAUAGAGAAACUGUUUAGUUCAAAGAACCAUUUUUAACUGAACAACCAUUGACAUGAAGAAAACCUGGAAAUAGCAUGCACGAAAGUGCUCUGAAGUCAGGAGUGUCACACAAAAUUGUAGCCUCCAAUACAUAAAAUUAAAUGGGUCCUCCAUGGUCUUAGCACCAGAUCCUGACUUGGUGACAAUGGAACUACAUGCUCAUCGUUUUUAUUGUGAUUUUUUUACUUAAGCUAGAAACAAAUGAAGGAAACAAAAGUGCAGCAGUAAUGACUACCUAAUGCUGUAUCAUCUGAUAAACAGUUUAAAUACUUUGCAUGUUACAACAACUUUACCUUACAAGGUAAAGUGUAUUGAUACCAUAUUGAGACACUAGAAAAAAUUCCAUCCUAUUUCUAAACAUUCAUUUUUCGCAAAUACAAAUGAUUUCUAUUUCUAAUAAAUUGUUUGGUCUGUA